UACCGAUAGUAGCUCGUUGUUUCUUUACCAAACUUGGAAGUGCAAUGCCAAAAUGCUUAUCGACCAAAGUUGGUCACUUGUCCUAAGUGCUAUUAUGGGAACAUAUCUUAAUGAAAGUACAAUCUGUAUAUUCUGGAACGAUAGAUUUGAGUUCCAACUGCUUCACAGCGCAGAAUAUAGCAGCUAUGUGGGAAUUAAUAUUCUAAAUUUACAAUACAACGAAGGGAAUGAUUUCAUUAAUGCGAGAUUAAAAAAAAAAUGGCUACAAGAAAAAAAUGUCUUAUUUGAUGACCUUCUAAUCAAAAUUAUUAUAUCUAUUGAGGUGACGCAUUGUGAGUCGUUUUUGGUAUUUGACGACGAUAUUGGACAGUUUGUAAAUGCCUUUAAGAAGGCUUCUGUAUAUUCAAUUUGGAGGUCAAUACGCAAUAAAUUCGUUUUCGCGUAUGUGGCUAACGAAUUGCAUGAGUGCUGGGACAACAUAUUCUUCGAGGAGUGCAUUUUCUGAUUUUUCGACCAAAAGCGCUUAAUUUCUUGCAAAAAGUCGUCGCGUUAAUGUGUGUGAAACAAUUCGUUCUGCAUAUCAAGGCAAGCUCAAAUGCAUGAUUAUAGGAGAUGAGACUUGAGACAACCGACUAACUAAGCGAAUAUCGCGUUAAGGGCGAGGCUAAACCGAAAAGAGCACGUCAAAGUGGAUCAAAAAUUAAGAUCAACCAAACAUUCUCUUUGUCGUACGAGAUCACUACUUAGGCACCAACUUCGAUUUAAAAACAAAUAAAUAUGUUGGACCCAAAUCAGAGAAACCUGCUCAACUAAAAUUGCUAGACACAUAUUUGGCUGCCGAACAGCGAUUUCGUAUGGGAAAAUCCCUCUUCCCAGACAAACUUAAGAACUUGCAUGGUCGAGAAGUGAUCUUAGCUGGGUUCGACUACCGACCCUAUACAGUUAUAAAGAAUCUCAACAUUUGGUUGACAACGACCUGCAUAGCGGCCAGGCUAAAAUGCUGACUAUGCAUUCCCACGGCGUCGGCUGGCUCUCACUCACUAACACAUCGAAAGAGGCGUCUCAGGACAUAUAUA